AGCGAACGCUGGCGGCAGGCUUAAUACAUGCAAGUCGAACGGGCAUCUUCGGAUGUUAGUGGCAGACGGGUGGGUAACACGUGGUAACGUACCCUUCGGUUCGGAAUAUCUCAGGGUAACUUGAGCUAAUACCGGAUACGCUCUUUCGGGGAAAGGUUUACUGCCGCAGGAUCGGAUCGAGUCUGAUUAGCUUGCUGGCGGGGUAACGGCCUUCCAAGGCGACGAUCCGUAGCUGGUCUGAGAGGCAGAGCAGACACACUGGUGCUUAGACACGGCCCGGACUCCUACGGGAUGCGCGAGAGCGUGAUAGUGCAACGUGGGCGCAGGCAUGAUCCACCCAUGCCGGGUGAGUGAUGAAGGCAUUGGGGAAGUAAUGCUCAAUUGUCCAUGAAGAUAAUGACGGUACCGGAACAAUAAGCCCCGGCUAACUACGUG
rnacentral:rRNA from 1 species